CGUGUAGGCGGACCGAGUAGUCGGGUGUGAAAGCCCUGGGCUCAACCCAGGAAGUGCGCCCGAAACCAUCGGUCUUGAGUUUCGGAGGGGAGCGGGGAAUUCCCAGUGUAGAGGUGAAAUUCGUAGAUAUUGGGAAGAACACCGGUGCCGAAGGGGCCGCUCUGGACGAAUACUGACGCUGAGACGCGAAAGCGUGGGGAGCAAACAGGAUUAGAUACCCUGGUAGUCC
rnacentral:rRNA from 1 species